UACGGUUAUAUCACGCUGAAACGCUGGUUCUCGUUCGAUCACCAAAGUUAAGCAACGUUGAGCCUGUUCAGUACCUACAGGAUUAUUCGCUUGGGAAAAUCAGGUAAGCGCC